GAUGAACGCUAGCUACAGGCUUAACACAUGCAAGUCGUGGGGCAGCGGAUACUUAGCUUGCUAAGUAUGCCGGCGACCGGCGCACGGGUGAGUAACGCGUACCGAACCUGCCCAUCACACAGGGAUAGGCUUGCGAAGGCAAGAUUAAUAUCUGAUGGUCUCAAUUUUAUGCAUGUAUGAUUGAGUAAGGCCUUCGGGCGGUGAUGGAUGGCGGUGCGUCCCAUUAGGAAGUUGGCGGGGUAACGGCCCACCAAUCCUUCGAUGGGUAGGGGUUCUGAGAGGAAGGUCCGCCACAUUGGAACGGAGAUACGGUCCAAACUGCUACGGGAGGCAGCAGUGAGGAAUAGUGGUGAAUGGGCGAGAGCCUGAACCAGCCAAGUAGCGUGCGGGAUGAAGGCCCUUGUGGUAGUAAACCGCUUUUAUCAGUGAAUAAAGUGCACCACGUGUGGUGUCAUUGCAGGUAGCUGAAGAAAAAGGACCGGCUAAUUCCGUG
rnacentral:rRNA from 1 species